rnacentral:rRNA from 1 species
GAUGAACGCUGGCGGCGUGCCUAAUACAUGCAAGUAGAACGCUGAAGGAGGAGCUUGCUCUUCUGGAUGAGUUGCGAACGGGUGAGUAACGCGUAGGUAACCUGCCUGGUAGCGGGGGAUAACUAUUGGAAACGAUAGCUAAUACCGCAUGACAACAGUUAUUGCAUGAUAACUGUUUAAAAGGGGCAACUGCUCCACUACCAGAUGGACCUGCGUUGUAUUAGCUAGUUGGUGAGGUAACGGCUCACCAAGGCGACGAUACAUAGCCGACCUGAGAGGGUGAUCGGCCACACUGGGAAUGAGACACGGCCCAGACUCCUACGGGAGGCAGCAGUAGGGAAUCUUCGGCAAUGGACGGAAGUCUGACCGAGCAACGCCGCGUGAGGGAAGAAGGUUUUCGGAUCGUAAAGCUCUGUUGUAAGAGAAGAACGAGUGUGAGAGUGGAAAGUUCACACUGUGACGGUAUCUUACCAGAAAGGGACGGCUAACUACGUG